rnacentral:miRNA from 1 species
UUGACGAAAUGUGACGACUAC